rnacentral:rRNA from 1 species
GACGAACGCUGGCGGCGUGCUUAACACAUGCAAGUCGAACGGAAAGGCCCUGCUUUUGUGGGGUGCUCGAGUGGCGAACGGGUGAGUAACACGUGAGUAACCUGCACUUGACUUUGGGAUAACUUCAGAAGACUGGGGCUAAUACCGGAUAGGAGCUCCUGCUGCAUGGUGGGGGUUGGAGAGUUUCGGCCGUUUGGGAUGGUUUCGCGGCUUAUCAGCUGGUUUGUGGGGUAGUGGCUUUCCAAGGCUUUGACGGGUAGCCGGCGUGAGAGGGUGACCGGCGACAUUGCGCCUGAGGUACGGCCCAGACUCCUACGGGCGGCAGCAGUGGGGAAUAUUGCACAAUGGGCGGAAGCCUGAUGCAGCAACGCCGCGUGCGGGAUGCCGGCCUUCGGGUUGUAAACCGCUUUCGCCUGUGCCGAAGCGUGAGUGACGGUAAUGGGUAAAGAAGCACCGGCUAACUACGUG